rnacentral:rRNA from 1 species
AAUCCUUCACCAUCUCGGUGACAGGAAAUGUGGUGUUUAGGCCGUACCUUGUCCCGACACGUCUCUCCUCAAGUCCACUUGAUUGUGGCCCCAGGCCCAGAGAGGGUGUAAGGCCCGUGGAGGCGAGACGUUCGGUACCUGGUGCGUCCUUAGAGUCGGGUUGUUUGGGAAUGCAGCCCUAAGCGGGUGGUAAACUCCAUCCAAGGCUAAAUACCAGCACGAGUCCGAUAGCGAAGAAGUACCGCGAGGGAAGGUUGAAAAGAACUUUGAAGAGAGAGUUCAAGAGUACGUGAAACCGCUGAGAGGCAAACUGGUGGAACUGAAAUGGUCCCGAGGAAUUCAGCCGUUGGUCGUUGCACAGUCUUUGGUGAUUGAUCUAACGACGGCGCCAUUGAAUGACGUUUCGAUCAUCGGUGCACUUUCCUCGCCUGGGCCCGACCACGACCGGUGAGCUGAUCUGUCUGUCGUGCUUGGAAGAUAGCGCCGUCUUCGGAAGGCGUGUUAUAGACAGGCAUACGGAGCAGUCGGCGCACUGGAUGAUAGUGCCUGCCCAUCUGGGCUCAUAUGGUGGUUGUUUUGUUGGCGAGUUCUGAUGUCACUACUUCGGUAGAGUCGUUAGACUCUGUUGGCAUUAUGGCUGUCCUCUAUGAUUGGCACUGUUAAGUCUGUGGUUGUGAAGUAGGUAGUCCACCUGACCCGUCUUGAAACACGGACCAAGGAGUCUAACAUGUGCGCGAGUCAUUGGGUUCACGAAACCUAAAGGCGCAGUGAAGGUAAAGAUCUGUUUUGGCAGAUUGAGGUGGGAUGCCGGGUUACGCGCCCGGCCGCACUACCGGCCCGUUCUAUAUGUCUUUCAUAGGAGCGGAGCAAGAGCGUACACGUUGGGACCCGAAAGAUGGUGAACUAUGC